UACGUAGGGUGCGAGCGUUAAUCGGAAUUACUGGGCGUAAAGCGUGCGCAGGCGGUUUUGUAAGCCAGAUGUGAAAUCCCCGGGCUUAACCUGGGAAUGGCAUUUGGGACUGCAAGGCUGGAGUGCGGCAGAGGAGACUGGAAUUCCUGGUGUAGCAGUGAAAUGCGUAGAUAUCGAGAGGAACACCUGCGGCGAAGGCGGGUUGCUGGGCCGACACGUGACGCUGAUGCGCGAAAGCCAGGGGAGCGAAGCGGG
rnacentral:rRNA from 1 species